CAGUCGCCGCGGUAAUACAGAUGGUGCGAGCGUUAAUCGGAUUUACUGGGCGUAAAGCGUGCGUAGGCGGCUUCUUAAGUCGGAUGUGAAAUCCCUGAGCUUAACUUAGGAAUUGCAUUCGAUACUGGGAAGCUAGAGUAUGGGAGAGGAUUGUAGAAUUCCAGGUGUAGCGGUGAAAUGCGUAGAGAUCUGGAGGAAUACCGAUGGCGAAGGCAGCCAUCUGGCCUAAUACUGACGCUGAGGUACGAAAGCAUGGGGAGCAAACAGGAUUAGAUACCCCAGUAGUCCCUGUCUCUUAUAC
rnacentral:rRNA from 1 species